UACGGAGGGGGCGAGCGUUACUCGGAAUUACUGGGCGUAAAGCGUGCGUAGGUGGUUCGUUAAGUCUGAUGUGAAAGCCCUGGGCUCAACCUGGGAAUGGCAUUGGAAACUGGCGACCUAGAGUGCGGUAGAGGGCAGUGGAAUUCCCGGUGUAGCAGUGAAAUGCGUAGAGAUCGGGAGGAACAUCUGUGGCGAAGGCGACUGCCUGGACCAGCACUGACACUGAGGCACGAAAGCGUGGGGAGCAAACAGG
rnacentral:rRNA from 1 species